GAUGAACGCUGGCGGUGUGCUUAACACAUGCAAGUCGAACGGAAAGGCCCUGCUUUUGUGGGGUGCUCGAGUGGCGAUCGGGUGAGUAACACGUGAGUAACCUGCCCUUGACUUUGGGAUAACUUCACGAAACUGGGGUUAAUACAGUAUAGGAGCCCCCCCCGCAUGGUGGGGGGUGGAAAGUUUCGGCGGUUGGGGAUGGACGUGCGGCUUUUCAGCUGGUUGGUGGGGUAGUGGCUGACCAAGGCUUUGACGGGUAGCCGGCCGUUGAAGGUGGCCGGCCACAUUGGAACUGAGAAACGGCCCAGACUGCUACGGGGGACAGCAGGGGGAAGUAUUGCCCAAUGGGCAGAAGCCGGAUACGGAGGCGUCGCGUGCGGGAUGACCGCCUUCGGGGUGUAAACCGCUUCCGCCUGUGACGAAGCGUGACUGACGGUAAUGGAUAAAGAAGCACCGGCUAACUACGUG
rnacentral:rRNA from 1 species